rnacentral:rRNA from 1 species
UACGUAGGGUGCGAGCGUUAAUCGGAAGUACUGGGCGUAAAGCGCGCGUAGGCGGCUUUGCAAGUCGGGUGUGAAAUCCCCAGGCUUAACCUGGGAACUGCAUUCGAGACUGCAUUGCUAGAGUAUGGGAGAGGGAAGUGGAAUUUCCGGUGUAGCGGUGAAAUGCGUAGAUAUCGGAAGGAACAUCAGUGGCGAAAGCGACUUCCUGGACCAAUACUGACGCUCAUGUGCGAAAGCGUGGGGAGCAAACAGG